rnacentral:lncRNA from 1 species
CCAAGACCCUGAUUGGGCGGUGAUGAGUCGAUGAAAGGAGCCGUUGGGAGUGGGUGGGGGGCCGUGAAGUGAACCGGGUUAAGCGGCCACUGGAAGGAGGCCUGCACUGUGUCCAGGAUGUUGACGGGUGCGACGCUGCGCCCCCGCCGGGUUCCACUCAGGGUCUGAUUGCCCCUGUAAGACCCCCCUGGCCCAUCCGCCCCCUCAGGGCUGAUCUUCCCUCUGAUUGCCCCCGCCAUCCCCGGGUGCUGGCCCGCUUUCCUUCCCGCCCCCGGCCAGCUCUUGUUUAAACAGGCUGUGCGGCGGUAGGAUGGGCCUGUCACGCUGUGCUGGGCUCCAGACCCCCACCGCUGGCUGCGCGUGCUUCCUUUUCCGCACGCGGUACGUGCUAACCGAACCUCCUCGCCGACGUGAAGUUCGGCGGCUCGCCGCAGCGGCACAGGCUUCGCCCCGCGCUUCCGCGCAGAACUUCGUGGAGCGGUAUUGCGGCGCGUGGCUUGCGACCCAGAGCCCUGGGCGACGCUGAGCAGAACCCAUCAGGAGAGAGCCCUGUUGACACGGGUGGAGUUCGAAUCGUCCUUUACGUGAGGAUCGUCGCUCCGGAUCCAUCCGGGAGCCUCGCAACAGCCCGUCGUGUUCGUCGUCCCCGGUUCGGGACCAUCUUUCUUAGACCGAGCCUGGGCCCGUGUUACGGUGAAGGCAGAUCGAGCAGGAGCUCGACGUUCGAGCGUCUAACCCUACCCACGAAGGCGCCGAAAUCGCGGAGGAAAUCUUUGCUUUUGCGCUCCGUGGUAGCCAGCUCAUUUCAAGGUACAUUGCGCGGAGAGGGA